rnacentral:rRNA from 1 species
AGCGAACGCUGGCGGCAGGCUUAACACAUGCAAGUCGAGCGCCGUAGCAAUACGGAGCGGCAGACGAGUGAGUAACACGUGGGAACGUACCUUUUGGUUCGGAACAACACAGGGAAACUUGUGCUAAUACCGGAUAAGCCCUUACGGGGAAAGAUUCAUCGCCGAAAGAUCGGCCCGCGUCUGAUGAGCUAGUUGGUGAGGUAAAGGCUCACCAAGGCGACGAUCAGUAGCUGGUCUGAGAGGAUGAUCAGCCACACUGGGACUGAGACACGGCCCAGACUCCUACGGGAGGCAGCAGUGGGUAAUAUUGGACAAUAGACGCAAGCCUGAUCCAGCCAUGCCGCGUGAGUGAUGAAGGCCCUAGGGUUGUAAAGCUCUUUUGUGCGGGAAGAUAAUGACUGUACCGCAAGAAUAAGCCCCGGCUAACUUCGUGCCAGCCGCCGCGGUAAGAC